CGCAAGCCUGACGGAGCAAGCCCGCGUGCGGGAUCGCGGCCUAAUGGUUGUACCCCGCUUUUCUCUGGGAAGAUGAUGACGGUACCAGAGGAAUCAGCCUCGGCUAACUCCGUGCCAGCAGCCGCGGUAAUACGGAGGAGGCAAGCGUUAUCCGGAAUUAUUGGGCGUAAAGCGUCCGUAGGUGGCUAUUCAAGUCUGCUGUCAAAGCGUGGGGCUUAACUCCAUAUAGGCAGUGGAAACUGAAUGNCUNGAGUGCGGUAGGGGUCGAGGGAAUUCCCAGUGUAGCGGUGAAAUGCGUAGAUAUUGGGAAGAACACCAGUGGCGAAAGCGCUCGACUGGGCCUGCACUGACACUGAGGGACGAAAGCUAGGGGAGCG
rnacentral:rRNA from 1 species